UGGGGGGGAGAAUCAAAUAUGCUACUUCUGUGUGCUCAGCCACGAAGCUUCUCAGAAAGUGUAAAAGAUUUUCCAAGCUUUGUCUGUCUGUCUGUCUGUCCUGUGGUUCCCUUCUGGCAUCUCCCGUUCCACACGUCCCUUCUAUAACCUGGCAUUUUUUAAAAGAGAGAUUUUUUGGGUUGUUUUUUCAAUAAAAGGGAAGAACAGACAUCAAACGUGUCCUGGAGCAUCUCUGGGGUGUUUCACACCUGGGGAGGGAAUCCCAGUUCACAAAAUCCUCAGGGCUGGAAGAAUCCUGGCAUUCCCGUGGCACCACCACAGUCUUGUCACCUAAACCUUGUCCCCAGGUCCCACAGGAUGAGAGUGGCUCCUCUUUUUAUCUUGCAGAGCUGGUUGGGCCUGGCUGCCUCACCUCAGGAACCCCCGGACGGACCUUCCUGGUUUUCCGGCCCUUCCUGGCCACGCCUGUCCCACAAGGGGCAGGGGACUCUCCUGGCAUCCCAAGCAGGAUCCUGCCUUCGUCCCUCGCCUGGCUCCCUCCCGCCUGCUGGGAGAGGGUCGGGACUCCUCGGCAUCGGCUCCACCAUCAAUCCCCUCCUGGUAUCCCACCAUUCCACCUGCCCAUUCCAGGAGCGAGGAGCGCAUCACCUGCCCACACCUGCACAGGUCCCAGGGGGAACCUCAGGGCGGCACCAUGUCCCAGGCCACCACCUGCCUCAAGCCGCAGGGAGAUGGCGGGGGGGGCCCCCCACCACUGCCAUCACCACCAGGAUCCCCGCGCAUUUUCCCUCCGGAGACGCUGUUCCGACAGGCAGGUGGGGUCACCUACCGCAUCCCGGCCCUGCUCUACGUGCCCCCGGAUGAUUCCUUCCUGGCCUUUGCCGAGAAGCGCUCCUCGGCCCGGGACGAGGAUGCCAAGUACCUGGUGCUGCGGCGGGGCCGCCGGCACGGCUCCUCGGUGAAGGUAAAACGCCCGCGGGCUGUAGGGACACGGGGUGGGCGCGAUGCCGGGGGGCCCCCGCGGCUGAGCCCCCUUUUCCUUCCUGCCGGCAGUGGGGGCC
rnacentral:lncRNA from 1 species